AACCAACAGGGAUUGCCCUAGUAACGGCGAGUGAAGCGGCAACAGCUCAAAUUUGAAAGCUGGCUUCGGCCCGCGUUGUAAUUUGGAGAGGAUGCUUUGGGCGAGGCUCCUUCUGAGUUCCCUGGAACGGGACGCCACAGAGGGUGAGAGCCCCGUAUAGUUGGAAGCCAAGCCUGUGUAAAGCUCCUUCGACGAGUCGAGUAGUUUGGGAAUGCUGCUCAAAAUGGGAGGUAAAUUUCUUCUAAAGCUAAAUACCGGCCAGAGACCGAUAGCGCACAAGUAGAGUGAUCGAAAGAUGAAAAGCACUUUGAAAAGAGGGUUAAAUAGCACGUGAAAUUGUUGAAAGGGAAGCGCUUGUGACCAGACUUGCGCCCGGCGGAUCAUCCGGUGUUCUCACCGGUGCACUCCGCCGGGCUCAGGCCAGCAUCGGUUCUGGCGGGGGGAUAAAGGCCCAGGGAAUGUGGCUCCUCCGGGAGUGUUAUAGCCCUGGGUGUAAUACCCUCGCCGGGACCGAGGACCGCGCUCUGCAAGGAUGCUGGCGUAAUGGUCACCAGCGACCCGUCUUGAAACACGGACCAAGGAGUCAAGGUUUUGCGCGAGUGUUUGGGUGUAAAACCCGCACGCGUAAUGAAAGUGAACGUAGGUGAGAGCUUCGGCGCAUCAUCGACCGAUCCUGAUGUAUUCGGAUGGAUUUGAGUAGGAGCGUUAAGCCUUGGACCCGAAAGAUGGUGAACUAUGCUUGGAUAGGGUGAAGCCAGAGGAAACUCUGGUGGAGGCUCGCAGCGGUUCUGACGUGCAAAUCGAUCGUCAAAUCUGAGCAUGGGGGCGAAAGAC
rnacentral:rRNA from 2 species